rnacentral:rRNA from 1 species
UACGGGGGGGGCAAGCGUUGUUCGGAAUUACUGGGCGUAAAGGGCGCGUAGGCGGUUCGCUAAGUUGGACGUGAAAACUCUGGGCUCAACCCAGAGCCUGCAUCCAAAACUGGCGGGCUAGAGUUCUGGAGGGGGUAGCGGAAUUCCUGGUGUAGCGGUGAAAUGCGUAGAUAUCAGGAGGAACACCGGUGGCGAAGGCGGCUACCUGGACAGAAACUGACGCUGAGGCGCGAAAGCUAGGGGAGCAAACAGG